CGGGGUGCAGCAGGCGCGAAAACUUUACAAUGCCGGCAACGGCGAUAAGGGAACCUCGAGUGCCAGGUUACAAAUCUGGCUGUCGUGAUGCCUAAAAAGCAUUGCAUAGCAAGGGCCGGGCAAGACCGGUGCCAGCCGCCGCGGUAACACCGGCGGCUCGAGUGGUAACCGUUAUUAUUGGGUCUAAAGGGUCUGUAGCCGGCCGGGUAAGUCUCUUGGGAAAUCUGGCAGCUUAACUGUCAGGCUUUCAGGAGAUACUGCCUGGCUCGAGGCCGGGAGAGGUGAGAGGUACUUCAGGGGUAGGGGUGAAAUCUCGUAAUCCUUGAAGGACCACCAGUGGCGAAGGCGUCUCACCAGAACGGACCUGACGGCAAGGGACGAAAGCUAGGGGCACGAACCGGAUUAGAUAUCCGGGUAGUCCUAGCCGUAAACGAUACUCGCUAGGUGUCGGCCACGGUGCGACCGUGGUCGGUGCCGUAGGGAAGCCGUGAAGCGAGCCACCUGGGAAGUACGGCCGCAAGGCUGAAACUUAAAGGAAUUGGCGGGGGAGCACAAGGGCGAUUCG
rnacentral:rRNA from 1 species